GUCUCCAUAGCUCAGUGGUUUAGAGCGGCCGCCUGCAGUAAAAUGGCAUAGCGGCAGGUCACGUGUUCAAAUCACGUUGGGGACU
rnacentral:tRNA from 1 species